rnacentral:rRNA from 1 species
AUGAACGCUGGCGGCGUGCCUAAUACAUGCAAGUCGAGCGAACGGACGAGAAGCUUGCUUCUCUGAUGUUAGCGGCGGACGGGUGAGUAACACGUGGAUAACCUACCUAUAAGACUGGGAUAACUUCGGGAAACCGGAGCUAAUACCGGAUGAUAUUUUGAACCGCAUGGUUCAAAAGUGAAAGACGGUCUUGCUGUCACUUAUAGAUGGAUCCGCGCUGCAUUAGCUAGUUGGUAAGGUAACGGCUUACCAAGGCAACGAUGCAUAGCCGACCUGAGAGGGUGAUCGGCCACACUGGAACUGAGACACCGUCCAGGCUCCUACGGGAGGCAGCAGUAGGGAAUCUUCCGCAAUGGGCGAAAGCCUGACGGAGCAACGCCGCGUGAGUGAUGAAGGUCUUCGGAUCGUAAAACUCUGUUAUUAGGGAAGAACAUAUGUGUAAGUAACUGUGCACAUCUUGACGGUACCUAAUCAGAAAGCCACGGCUAACUACGUG